rnacentral:rRNA from 1 species
GCAAGUCGAGCGCGAACGUAGACUUCGGUUUACUAGUAGAGCGGCGAACGGGUGAGUAACACGUGGAUAAUCUGCCUGGGAGCGGGGGACAACUCGGGGAAACCUGAGCUAAUACCGCAUACGAUCACAUCCCCUUGGGGUUGUGAAGAAAGGUGGCCUUCGGGCUGCCACUCCCAGAGGAGUCCGCGGCUGAUUAGCUAGUUGGUGAGGUAAAGGCUCACCAAGGCGACGAUCAGUAUCUGGUUUGAGAGGACGAUC